rnacentral:rRNA from 1 species
CAAUAGCGUAUAUUAAAGUUGCUGCAGUUAAAAGCUCGUAGUUGGAUUUGUGGCGUGGUCGUCCGGCGGGCUCCUUCAUUGGGGCCGUUUGUCUGGUUUUCGACCGCACCAUUCUCGGGUAGUGUGUCGCUGGCAUUAGGUUGUCGGCUUCUUCACGCCCGUCGUUUACUGUGAAAAAUUAGAGUGUUCAAAGCAGGCUUAGGCCGUUGGAUACAUUAGCAUGGAAUAAUGAGAUAGGGCCACGACGGUCUAUUUGUUGGUUUGCACGUUGUGGUAAUGAUUAACAGGAACGGUUGGGGUAUUCGUAUUCAAUUGUCAGAGGUGAAAUUCUUGGAUUUACGAAAGACGAACAACUGCGAAAGCACUUGCCAAGAGUGUUUUUCAUUAAUCGAAGAACGAAAGUUAGAGGAUCGAAGACGAUUAGAUACCA